UCGUAACAAGGUUUCCGUAGGUGAACCUGCGGAAGGAUCAUUACCGAGUGCAGGUCUGCCCCCGGGCAGGCCUAACCUCCCACCCGUGAAUACCUGACCAACGUUGCUUCGGCGGUGCGCCCCCCCGGGGGUAGCCGCCGGAGACCACACCGAACCUCCUGUCUUUAGUGUUGUCUGAGCUUGAUAGCAAACCUAUUAAAACUUUCAACAAUGGAUCUCUUGGUUCCGGCAUCGAUGAAGAACGCAGCGAACUGCGAUAAGUAAUGUGAAUUGCAGAAUUCAGUGAAUCAUCGAGUCUUUGAACGCACAUUGCGCCCCCUGGCAUUCCGGGGGGCAUGCCUGUCCGAGCGUCAUUGCUGCCCUUCAAGCCCGGCUUGUGUGUUGGGUCGUCGUCCCCCCCGGGGGACGGGCCCGAAAGGCAGCGGCGGCACCGCGUCCGGUCCUCGAGCGUAUGGGGCUUCGUCACCCGCUCGAUUAGGGCCGGCCGGGCGCCAGCCGGCGUCUCCAACCUUCUAUUUUACCAGGUUGACCUCGGAUCAGGUAGGGAUACCCGCUGAACUUAAGCAUAUCA
rnacentral:misc_RNA from 1 species